UUCGCCCUUAGAGUUUGAUCCUGGCUCAGGAUGAACGCUGGCGGCGUGCUUAACACAUGCAAGUCGAACGAAGCGCUUUACUUAGAUUCCUUCGGGAUGAAGAGUGUUGUGACUGAGUGGCGGACGGGUGAGUAACGCGUGGGUAACCUGCCUCAUACAGGGGGAUAACAGCUGGAAACGGCUGCUAAUACCGCAUAACCCGAUAGGACCGCAUGGCCCGGACGGAAAAGAUUUAUCGGUAUGAGAUGGACCCGCGUCUGAUUAGCUAGUUGGAGGGGUAACGGCCCACCAAGGCGACGAUCAGUAGCCGACUUGAGAGAGUGAUCGGCCACAUUGGGACUGAGACACGGCCCAAACUCCUACGGGAGGCAGCAGUGGGGAAUAUUGCACAAUGGGGGAAACCCUGAUGCAGCGACGCCGCGUGAGUGAAGAAGUAUUUCGGUAUGUAAAGCUCUAUCAGCAGGGAAGAAAAUGACGGUACCUGACUAAGAAGCCCCGGCUAACUACGUGCCAGCAGCCGCGGUAAUACGUAGGGGGCAAGCGUUAUCCGGAUUUACUGGGUGUAAAGGGAGCGUAGGUGGCGUGGCAAGUCAGAAGUGAAAGCCCGGGGCUCAACCCCGGGACUGCUUUUGAAACUGUCAUGCUGGAGUGCAGGAGAGGUAAGUGGAAUUCCUAGUGUAGCGGUGAAAUGCGUAGAUAUUAGGAGGAACACCGGUGGCGAAGGCGAUUUACUGGACCACAACUGACGCUGAGACACGAAAGCGUGGGGAGCAAACAGGAUUAGAUACCCUGGUAGUCCACGCUGUAAACGAUGAAUGCUAGGUGUGGGGACCGAAAAGGUUUCCGUGCCGCAGUUAACACAAUAAGCAUUCCACCUGGGGAGUACGGCCGCAAGGUUGAAACUCAAAGGAAUUGACGGGAGCCCGCACAAGCAGUGGAGUAUGUGGUUUAAUUCGACGCAACGCGAAGAACCUUACCGGAGCUUGACAUCCUGCUGACGGUCCGAGUAAUGUUGGACGUUCCUUCGGGACAGCAGAGACAGGUGGUGCAUGGUUGUCGUCAGCUCGUGUCGUGAGAUGUUGGGUUAAGUCCCGCAACGAGCGCAACCCUUAUUGUCAGUUGCUACGCAAGAGCACUCUGGCGAGACUGCCGUUGACAAAACGGAGGAAGGUGGGGACGACGUCAAAUCAUCAUGCCCCUUACGCCCCGGGCUACACACGUACUACAAUGGCGCAAACAAAGGGAAGCGAUACCGCGAGGUGGAGCAAAUCCCAUAAAAGGCGUCCCAGUUCGGAUUGCAGGCUGAAACCCGCCUGUAUGAAGUUGGAAUUGCUAGUAAUCGUAGAUCAGCAUGCUACGGUGAAUACGUUCCCGGGCUUUGUACACACCGCCCGUCA
rnacentral:rRNA from 1 species